CUAACGUCUCAGUUCAGAUUGCAGGCUGCAACUCGCCUGCAUGAAGUCGGAAUUGCUAGUAAUCGCAGAUCAGCAUGCUGCGGUGAAUACGUUCCCGGGUCUUGUACACACCGCCCGUCACACCAUGGGAGUCGGGAAUGCCCGAAGCCAGUGACCCAAGCGAAAGCAGGGAGCUGUCGAAGGCAGGCCGGAUAACUGGGGUGAAGUCGUAACAAGGUAUC
rnacentral:rRNA from 1 species